CCUUUGCGCCUGCCCGGCCGGGUCUGUAAGGCAUUAUCCCCGACGCUAGAGGCCGCUGGUGGGGAAAAAUAUGUAUCAGUGGGCUCCGUCCGGCUUGGUAACUCAGAAUUCAUAGAGAGAGAAAACGUGUAGAGCAAUAUACCCUGAGUUUCCCGUUCUCCUUUUGAUGUGUUCUGUAUUCAGCAGUGGUCUGCGAGAAUUUCAGCUGAUUCAGAACACGGGCUUCCUCUGGCUCUCGUGUCAUUUGAUCACUGAUCUGUAUACAGGCGGAUUUCUGAGGAAAGGCCCAAGAAAGCAGGGGCUUGCAAUGUUUAGUUGGCUGACCAAAAAAGGCUGUCCCCCAGUUAAUCAGUCCUCAGAUGUAAAAUCAUAAAAAUCGUAAUGAAAACUAAAUUGUUGUAAAUAUGCAAACAGAAAGUAUCGUUUUAAAAUGGUAAUGGGGGGGGAUGACUCUUCUAAUCCGAUUAUAGGAAGGUGCCCUAUUGCAGCUCAGAAUAUUUGUCCAUUUAGUUCAGCGUUGUCCACUCUGACAGCAGCUCUCAAGGUCUUGGACAGAGAUAUUUCACAUUCCCUGCUAGAUUUCUGCUUGACAUCCUGGAAAGAUGGUGCCCCACCAGCUCUGACUCAUUGUCAUUGUACAUUGAUUAAAACCUAGUGUCAUCGGUCCGGUUCAUAAUGUGAAAAGAUCAUUUGAGUUGUGCAUACUUUUGUGAGCUUCUCUGAGAGCAAGAGUGAACAAGAGAGAAUCAUCACUCUUCUGUCACCACUGCCUACUAUUCCAUGAACCCAGGACUCCUCUUUCCCCCCACCUUCCAAAUGGAUUUCUGGAAACAUUGGAUAUCCAUUUUGUCUGCAGGCUGCGCAUCUCAUCAGUUAAUUUGCACAAAAUAUGCACUCUACAGGUAAAAGUGGCUAGGAACAUAGGAAGACCUUUGAUGCAUCAGGCCAAAAGCCUAUCAAGUCCAGCACCUUGUUCUCACAGAUACAUACAGGAAGCUCACCAGCAAGACCGGCAUGCAACAGCUCUUCUUGCUUUGUGUGUUACUUAUUCUCUGAAGCUAGCAAACAGUGAAGCCCUACAGCAGACUAGCAUAUUCAAAGGAUGCUUUGCUUGUUUGCUUCAUUGCACCCUCCUCUCUGCUCUGCCCCAUCUACCGCCAGCUGUUUUUCUUCCCUUCUCCAGUCUCACUUUCUUUUCUGCCACUUCCUAUGCUUGGAACAAUCUCCCUUUGUCUGCUCCUUAACUCUGUACAUUUCCCCUCAAAUCCCAAUUUCCGAAAGACUUCUUCUCAGCCUCCAUAGGAAAGCCACUUCUUACAUGCUUUCAGAGCAAAAGUAAGGACAUUGGUACUUGGUGCAGAUUGCAGCACGUUUGCUCAGGACCUCAGCUAGGGGCAAGGAUGGUGUUAAGCAGCUUUUUAGUAAAACCUGCAAGGAUGAGCUUGAAAGCACAGAGGCAAUAACUGGUGAAGUCUCAAAAAACCAGGGGAAGGGAGGGCAGGAUUCCUAGGAUGGAUGACACUGCCUGAUACAGCUUCUUUGCCUGCCCCACAUCUAGUAGAAGGAAAAUAAAGCAUGCAAAAAGGUCGAUGCAAUUUUGCAGGGUAUGGACAGGUUACAGAAACCAGCUUUCUCUUGACGCAGUUUCAACUUCACCGUGUUACUUGAUGCAAUUCUCACUUGCGGCACUUCCAGGCUGUUGGUAUUUUCCAGGUGGGAUUCAACCACAUACUGGCAAAUUCAGGUUGCACAGCUAGAGUUGAUGUGGAGGUCUUGCACAACUAUUUCCCCCAAAGGCCAGACUUUUUGCGAUACGGAAAGUAACAGGGGAAUAGACUAGAAAAUGUGAGACAACACCUGCUUUGAUGCCGUGUCUUCUGACCUCCUUACAAACAAAUCAGAAGGAAUGCUCAAUAAGCCGGUUGCCUGGGAGUGCUUUUGGUCAUUCCCAAGCUUUUACUUUUCCCAGUGUGUGCAGUGGGGUCCCUGUCCCCAGCAUCUUAGCGCUACCCACUCAGAAUGAAAGGGGGGCUUUUUAAGCAUUUAGGAAUGCUGAAAACACACGGUGUUUCAUUUUUAAGA